rnacentral:misc_RNA from 1 species
UUUUCAUUCGUUUAGGACUAUAGUCUUCUUGUUUCUCCUACCCCAAUUGGAUAGGGGAGUCUCCGUUCUUCCCUGUCCAAUAGUGAGUUAGCUCUCCCCACUACAAGAUGAGCUUUAAAUAGUUUUUUGGUUAGAUUUUAUGGCAGUCUGAGCUUAUACAGAGAGUUUUCUUCUUAAUUUCUGCCUCGUUUUAAGUUUUGCAAGGUGGCUUUGAGAUAUGUUGAUCGUUAUUUUGUAACGCUGGUGACUUCUUGGCCAUAAUAGGACAACAUAUCUUCCUCCUCUCCUCUCCUCUCCUAUUACUUGGGAUAUAAAUAUAUUAUAAGAGAUAAAUCACAUAAUUUUAUGAGCGAAUGAACAUAUUUAAUAAUAUAUUUAGAAUUUUUUUUCUUUUUAUAAAAAUGAAAUUUAAGGAUCGUAGUGUCAUAAUUUUAAAAUAGAUUUGGAUUUUUUUUUUUUUGCCGGGAGCUCCCUCCUCCUCCUUCCCUUUCUUAUUAAGCGACGUCGUUGCUAGCCGUGCUUCCGCCUUCCGGUAGCAAGAAGGAUUCACAGACUUCUCCUCGCCCUUUUUCCUCUCCUCUCUACUCUCCUCAUCGGUGCUGGUAUUGGUCUCUAUCCUAUUGCCUGAAAAAUUAUGUGUUGAUAUCGAUCUCUCGUCGCUCUCAUUUAAAUUUGAAGGGUGGCAGAUAAAAACAAAAUGCCAAGGGUCCAGACAAAGAGUGUCAAGUACCCUGAGGGUUGGGAAUUGAUUCAGUCUACUCUACUCGAACUACAAGCAAAGAUGAGAGAA